AGCCAUAGCCAUAUCACCCUGCAGCCCAAGACUGGUUGCCCACUGAAGCUAAGCAGGGUUGAGCCUGGUCAGUACCUGGAUGGGAAACCUCCUGGGAAAACUAGUUUGCUGUUGGAA
rnacentral:rRNA from 1 species